CCUACGGGUGGCAGCAGUGAGGAAUAUUGGUCAAUGGGCGUAAGCCUGAACCAGCCAAGUCGCGUGAGGGAUGAAGGUUCUAUGGAUCGUAAACCUCUUUUAUAAGGGAAUAAAGUGCGGGACGUGUUCCGCUUUGUAUGUACCUUACGAAUAAGGUUCGGCUAACUCCGUGCCAGCAGCCGCGGUAAUACGGAGGAUCCGAGCGUUAUCCGGAUUUAUUGGGUUUAAAGGGUGCGUAGGCGGGCUUUUAAGUCAGCGGUGAAAGUCUGUGGCUCAACCAUAGAAUUGCCGUUGAAACUGGGAGGCUUGAGUGUGUUUGAGGCAGGCGGAAUGCGUGGUGUAGCAGUGAAAUGCUUAGAUAUCACGCAGAACCCCAGUUGCGAAGGCAGCCUGCCAAGCCAUAACUGACGCUGAUGCACGAAAGCGUGGGGAGCAAACAGGAUUAGAUACCCGAGUAGUC
rnacentral:rRNA from 1 species